CCCGUGACUCCCGUGCCCAGUGAGGCACGAGGAGUACGCGGAGCAAUAACAUAUUGAUACUGGUGCCGUGCAAUACAGAGCGGAGAGUGUAAAUCCGUCACUCAGCAUCGACCAUUUGUGUAAAAAAUAAUGAAUGAAGAGAGAGAGAGAGAGAGAGAGAGAGAGAGAGAGAGAGAGAGAGAGAGAGAGAGAGAGAGCAUUUCAGUUGAGCCUAUUCUGCCCUGGUUCGUGUUUGCUGCGGUGACACGGUGCCGCACUGAGUGAAGAUUGCGUUCAUAAUCACUUAUCGGGGGUGGAGUGGGGAAAGGAGAGUCAGGAAGUGAGGAUAUUUAUAUUAUUUGACAUAUUAUUUGAUAGCAUGUCAACUUUUGUGUGUGUGUGUGUGUGUGGGUGUGUGGGUGGGUGUUGGAUCAGUGACAGGUGGCGCUGGGGAGUUACCACGGCGAGCGGCUGGCUGGCUGCAGUGUUUUGGUCAGCACUGGUCAAUCUUGCCCUACACGCUCUAUUAACCAGUGUUUCCGUCUUCCCGACACCUUCUUCUUGCACCAAGCACCGUCAAGCAUCACCAGAGAGGCACGAGUACGUAAGAUAAUCAAGGAGUUCCUGAGAUUAGAACCACAAGCGGAUGAACCAGACCCAAGAGUAGCAGUUUUGAAAGGGCUGGAGAAAUAUAGGCUCCCAAUAAUUGCCAUUCUCAAAAAAAGAAAAGCAGUUCCUCUGUAUAUGGAAACCUUACUUGAACUCUAUGGCCACGAUGAAAGUCAAUGCGAAUGCUUGCUUAGUUAUAUUGGGGUUACUUCACCUGCUUGGAGAAAGGAAAGACUCCAUUUUUACUAAGGUACCAGAAGAAGAACUAAGAACAGGGCAGUCUAGUGUGUAUUUGAUGGUGCACCUGUAGCUGAACCAACAUGUAUUUCUAUGGCUGUAGUCUCAUUGGUAGCAGGGCUUUGUGUUUAAUAUUGAACACCCCAAAAAUU